AUAUUGGUCAAUGGACGCAAGUCUGAACCAGCCAUGCCGCGUGGAGGAUGAAGGCCUUCUGGGUUGUAAACUUCUUUUAUCAGGGAAGAAACCUCCGAUUUCUAUUGGAGCCGACGGUACCUGAGGAAUAAGCACCGGCUAACUCCGUGCCAGCAGCCGCGGUAAUACGGAGGGUGCAAGCGUUAUCCGGAUUCACUGGGUUUAAAGGGUGUGUAGGCGGGCUGUUAAGUCAGUGGUGAAAUCUCAAGGCUCAACCUUGAAACUGCCAUUGAUACUAUCAGUCUUGAAUCUUGUUGAGGUGGGCGGAAUAUGUCAUGUAGCGGUGAAAUGCUUAGAUAUGACAUAGAACACCAAUUGCGAAGGCAGCUCACUAAACAAGUAUUGACGCUGAGGCACGAAAGCGUGGGGAUCAAACAGG
rnacentral:rRNA from 1 species